UUCCUUAUAUUUUUGGAACUUGUCAGGUGUACAAGUUUCCUUCCUGGCCAUAGAAGAUCAUAUUCUUGUUCAUUGGCAAAGCUAUCACCACUUAAUUGGUAUUAGAUUCUGUCAUACAUCAGUAACAUCA